CCUUAUUCAAUAACCGUGCACUCUAUCGUGAUAUGCUCCCGCCCCUGCUAUCGUGCCAUCCACCCGACGGUGCUUUCAUCCGCGAUCGCGUCUUAUCCGGUCGUGUCAACGCGAAACUUUCGCGAUCAGCAGAAAAUGAAGAAAUAUAAAAGUCGAGACGAGAGGGAGGGAACAAAGCGGGGAACGGUGUAAGUAAGUAGAUUGGCACUUAUUUUCCUGGAGAACUAUCUAGCACUCGGUUUUAUAAACCUCAAUUUACUGAUAGAGCGCAAUAGAGAGACGCAGAGGAGGGCGGCGGGAGGGUAUCUUUCGCGUCACAUGGCCGAAGUGAAAAUGAGGUAGUACGCGAGCGAUAGCGCGACGUCUACUUCGGAGACGCUUUUAUGGAGCACGCCGUGGAACAUCCCGGACAAAACGACGUUGCUGAAAAUUCUGAUAAAUGGCGACGACGACCCGAUAAAAGUAGGUAUCUACGUGGAAUCGGGGUUAUGAGAAAUUUAUGUUCGCGAGGUUAACGCUGCUCGUUAAAUUGUCCAAAAGAGGCUCCAAAGAAAUAGACACUUUCUCUAAACUUCAUUUAAAAGCUUUUUCGCUGUUCGAUCCAAUAAUUUGAUAAGAAAACUUUACACUUAAAUUUCAAAUGCGCGCUCGCGAAUUAUUAUUUCAUGAAAAUGAAAUGAAAAUUGUGCAAGAUUUCAAGAUUCGAGAUAAUCGUAAUUAAAUGUAUAUACAAUUAAUGCUUACAUAGGUAUUAGCUUCUCCAUUUAAGUGUAUCAUUUAUGUUAUAUUUUAUUUUUAAUGAUAAAUAUAGUAGUGUUUCACCUCCAGUGAUUAGAAACACAAAGGGAGAAAACAUAGCGCUGGAUGGAAAAAGUGGUACUUUUGUAUCCCUAAAUUCCCAUCGAGAUCAAAUAUCACACAAACAGAAAAGCAUGAAUCACUUCAUAUAGCGAGCCGCUGGGAAAGCAAGGAUCCAUCCCCAUUGCGGUCGUGUUGGUAAGGCGAGAGAGAGCACGAAAUGUCAGGCGCAAAGGUGGGAGAAGAGUGAUUUUCCGUGGGGUACGACAACGGUUACAUAACAAUGAGACAUCGCAACGUCAGCGACUCUCUGGAGACGUUCUCGUACGCGCGCGGCACAACCCUUCCCUCGGCGCAGCCUCUUUUCAACACUGGGCUCAUCUACGAGAUCCGAAAGGCUCCGAAAAGGACGCUGCAUCCCUCGAGAGCAAUCGAUGACCUAAAUGCCCAUUGUCGUUCGUUGCCAAGUCGACGUGGAAGAUAUGCUCUUUAUUUAGAUGAAGUGCUCCGGUCGGAAAUGUUUUGGAAACGAUGCUGAAAUAGGCUAUUCGUGCAAUUUUUCUCUUUAAAGUAAACUGAGUACUUCCGGGCGCGACAGUUACUUAUAAAUUUAAAUAUACACAGCGUUAUACGCCAAUUUAAUAAAUAUUCGUUGCAC